GCGCUGCCUGACGCCCGUACAGGCGCCGCUGGUGGAUAAAUAGAAGUGUCCAGACGUAGCUGAACUGGAUGUGGAGGCUACGCGGCGGCUGUCAGAGGCGAGGGGAAGGCGGAGAAUGGAGCCAGGCGUGAUAGUUUAAAAAGGACUUAAAAGAAACGAUAUGUCAAGUCCCCUUUGUUAGUGACGUGGGAAAAGCAUUGCAAGUGGGUUCCUACCAGUUGCUCUGAAAAACCCUCCCACGACACCCUGCUGACCUGAGACCAGAAAUUCUGGAGCCUCUCUGCCUGCAGCGGAGACCUCUCACUGAAGCCCUGGGGGCCGGGACUGUUUCCACAGCUAUGCAGUGAGUUCAUAGGAAACUGUGAGUUUCCCCAGCACUUGUAGCAACUCCAUUUGUUGGCCUUGGCCAACAGCACUCGGGAUCCUGCCCUACUUUCCAGAAGGCUCGUGUUGCCUGAUGCUGGAUCAUCCUCAUAUGUGACUGCAGAGGCGCUUGUCCUGAUUUGUAGCAGUAUGGGACGGGGGCUCUGUGUGUGUGUGUGUGUGUGUGUGUGUGUGUGUGUGUGUGUGUGUGUGCCAGCAAGC